rnacentral:lncRNA from 1 species
UAAGGUUGCAAAAUAAACUGAUAUGACAAGCUCAUAUUUCAUUUAUUCUGUCUAGAAAUGAAACACCAUCUAAAAACUGCCAGAGCAAGGUCAAUGCUUUCCUAUGAAGUCCUUAAGCAGAAAACUUAUCUUGUGACAAAUAUUUGGAUGGUACUUUCACGGGAAUUGUGAUAUGUACUUUCUCUGACAGAUCACACUUGGGCCAGGCAGCAGAACCCACAGAAGCACCCCUGGCUGCUUUUGUAAGGAUCCUUUCCCUGAGAAGAGUUUUUUGUGUUUUGAUGAGGAUAAGGAGUAAAGUGCUAGUGAUUGAAAAGUGUGCCUUUCCUGCAGAAUUUCACGUCCAUCUGACUCUAGAAGUUCAAGAAAUGAAAACAAAUCAAUUGUUGACCUCAAGUUUUUCCAAUCAAGUCACACUUCAGAUGUCUUAACUCCAGUUUAGCAGCCAAUGGCUCAGAAAGAAAUAUUUUCUCCAGAAUGUUUUGUUCUGGAAAACAGGGUCAUUUAAACACUUGAUAACCCUGCUAAAGACUUAAGACAUUUGCAGCUUAUACACAGAUGAAAGGACUUUCAACCUUCUGAUAUUUAUGACCAUUUCAGCUGCGAAGAGAAGAAUACUUGCUUCAUUAAUUUUUUUUAAAGGAAUGUGUUACUUCACCACUGGGUUAGAAUGAACAUGGAUAUUUUCCCUGUAUUCCGUAAAGCCCUCACCCCUGAUGCUGACUGUGUACAAUCUACUGCUUCUCAAAAGUUAUUCAGCAAUAUACUAGACCUGUACACCACACUGCAAGGAAAGAAAGAUUUAGGUGGCCAAAUGGUUUGAAGACAUUGUGCAUUAUAGUCUCUUUCUCAAGAUUUUGUGUAAUUAAACACACCAAGAAGCAAUGCAGUAAAUAAAUAAACAAAAACCUUGUAGUUUAAUGUGAUAUCUCCCACAUGUCGUAGACCAUGAAAUAUUUUUUUAAAAAGACAUAUUCUGUUUUCACACCACUUUCUACUUUUCUUCCUCAUAAUAAUGUUUGUUCCUCUGUCGAUGGGGCAGAAAAUAAAAGGAAAAUAUCAAUAUAUGCUUAAUAAACUGCCUUAGCAAAUGGCUAUAAUUUCUGUGUGUUCUCGUCAUCUUUAUGUAAAACAGGUGCUGGCUCCAGGAACCACCCCACCCCACACCAUGAGGAACUGUC